rnacentral:rRNA from 1 species
AUUGAACGCUGGCGGCAGGCCUAACACAUGCAAGUCGAGCGGCAGCACGGGUACUUGUACCUGGUGGCGAGCGGCGGACGGGUGAGUAAUGCCUAGGAAUCUGCCUGGUAGUGGGGGAUAACGCUCGGAAACGGACGCUAAUACCGCAUACGUCCUACGGGAGAAAGCAGGGGACCUUCGGGCCUUGCGCUAUCAGAUGAGCCUAGGUCGGAUUAGCUAGUUGGUGAGGUAAUGGCUCACCAAGGCGACGAUCCGUAACUGGUCUGAGAGGAUGAUCAGUCACACUGGAACUGAGACACGGUCCAGACUCCUACGGGAGGCAGCAGUGGGGAAUAUUGGACAAUGGGCGAAAGCCUGAUCCAGCCAUGCCGCGUGUGUGAAGAAGGUCUUCGGAUUGUAAAGCACUUUAAGUUGGGAGGAAGGGCAGUUACCUAAUACGUAUCUGUUUUGACGUUACCGACAGAAUAAGCACCGGCUAACUCUGUG